UACAGAGGGUGCGAGCGUUAAUCGGAAUUACUGGGCGUAAAGCGUGCGUAGACGGCUAUCUAAGUCGGGUGUGAAAGCCCCGGGCUCAACCUGGGAAUUGCAUUCGAGACUGAAUAGCUAGGGUACGGUAGAGGGAAGUGGAAUUUCCGGUGUAGCGGUGAAAUGCGUAGAUACCGGAAGGAACAUCAGUGGCGAAAGCGACGUGCUGGGUUGCACCUGACGCUGAGAUGCGAAAGUGUGGGGAGCAAACGGG
rnacentral:rRNA from 1 species